ensembl:lncRNA
GCUAAAUCCCUGGCUCUGUUCCUUUUUGUUUUGAGGCAGGGUUCAGGGCUGGCCUUGAACUUGGAAUCCCUCUGCCUCACCCUCUUGAAUGAGCAGCUGGGAUUACAGCCGUGCACCACUGUUCUUGGCUGACUUUUUUUUUUGAAACAGGCACUUGCUAUGUGAUUCAGGCUGGGCUUGAACUCACUAUGUAUUCCAGGCUGGACUUGAACUCACGGCAAUCCUCCUGCCUCAGCCUCCCAAGUACUGGGAUUACAGGAAGAAAGAGCUAGUUGUGGUUCAUGCUUCAGUCACCUCAGUCGGUGCACGGAUGGCCUAGCACAGAGGCUGUGGAGGACGCUGCUCACUGAAUGGCAGCCUGGAAGCAGACAGAGGAGAGAAGAGCUGAGAGGGCGAUAAACCUCCCUCGACACGCUCCAGGGACCCCACCUCCUCCGUCAGACCCUGCUUCCCAGCAGCCAGCUGUACCACGUCAUCAAACAAUGACCAUUCCCUGGCAUAUUAUCGUAAAAAUGAUGAUUUUAAUCAUAGGUUCCACUUGACUGAGUGCCCCCGAUGUUCUACCCAGUACAUGCAACAUCUCUGCUAAUCCUCAGGAAAAAGCCAUUAUUAUCCCCUGGCCAAGAGGGGAAAACCAAAGCUUACAAACUUCAGCAAAUAUCCUGCCUGUGGUUGAUGCUGUUCAUUCUGCCAUUCCCUGCACUCAUAUUAUGCCACAGCGGAUGAACUGACUUUAGCAAAAUAAUGUAGCAAUUAUUUCCUGUUUGGAAAACAGCUUCACCAUUAGAAUAUUUAACCCUUUGCCCCACUUAUUACUGUUGUAGCCCAGGUUUUUGUGUAGUUAGGUCACCUAAACAGUAGAUACAGUUUGCAUAAUGAUGCUCUGGCUCAGGACAGGUAAACAAUGGUUUUGUAAGAUUAUAAUAGAGCUGAAAAGUUCCUAUUGCAGUGAACACACGGCUGGAGAAUAGAAAGAGAAACUGCAGGGGGAAAUAGAACCCUGAAGAAAAUUCACAGUGAAGAUUUAGCAGAAGCGGUUGCAGACUUCAACAAGCUCCUUACAAGUGUUUGAAAACCCACAGGCUGUCCUUAAUAGAGAAGAGUUUUCAUCGCAUUAUCUGCCUACAAGAAAAAUCUAUGACAGAAAAAUAGAGAGAAGCAAACAACUAAGGACAUAUUUCUUUCUUUCUUUCUUCUUUUUUUUUUUUUUGAGGUACUGGGGAUUGAACUUGGGACCUUGUGCUUUCGAGGCAGCUGGUGGCACCACUGAGCUAAAUCCCCAGCCCACUAAGGGCAUAUUUCCGAAGAGUGACCUGCCUCAGUCCUUCAAGAGGGAUCCAGAGGGAAGCCACAGCUGUGGUCAUGGGGGUGACAGGCACCUUGUCACUGCCUUCCGGGGGGAGAGGAUGUGGAGGCGGAAGGCAGAGACUGACACUCCUCAUCCUGUGUAGGCCUAGGCCAAUGUGUGUGUUUGCAUCUUGAUUUUUAAUUUUUUUAAAAGUUUAAAAAGUAAAAUAAAAUUUAAAUAGAAAAGCUUAUAUAACAAGGGUAUAAAACUACUUUUGUACAGCUGUACAUGUUUGUGUUUGAAGCUGUUAUUACAAAUGAGUCAAAAUGUUUAAAUUAUCAAG